UACGGAGGGGGCUAGCGUUGUUCGGAAUUACUGGGCGUAAAGCGCACGUAGGCGGCUUUGUAAGUUAGAGGUGAAAGCCCAGGGCUCAACCCUGGAAUUGCCUUUAAGACUGCAUCGCUUGAACAUCGGAGAGGUAAGUGGAAUUCCGAGUGUAGAGGUGAAAUUCGUAGAUAUUCGGAAGAACACCGGUGGCGAAGGCGACUUACUGGACGAUUAUUGACGCUGAGGUGCGAAAGCAUGGGGAGCAAACAGG
rnacentral:rRNA from 1 species